UGUAUCAUGUUCCAUGCAGUUUAUCAUAUUUAAGCGACAGCUUACCAAUACAAGGAGUAACUGCGCAAUUGUAAGGAGGAAAGUGCUUAGUAUCUGAUCUUUGCAUCGGGAAUUAACGCAGACAGUGGAAACCAUUCAGAUCGAGGACCGCCAAUAAAAAUAGAUAUGUCUGAAGAAAAAGAGAAAAAUUUAGAAGAAAAACAAAUAGAAACAUCAAGUAUCGAAAAUGGUGAAAAUAAUGAUCAAAAGUCAACUUUAAGAAAGACUGAAAUUGAUGGAGACACCACCACAGAAGAAGAUGAAGAGAAUGAAGAGGGGUUUGUGAUCAUUUAUUCAAGGACAAAAAGUGAUGAAGACCUGCAUAAAAUGUCCAGCUGCAUUGAAGAGGAAGACAAACUGUCCCCUCAUUAUCCGCUGCUUAAGAUAUAUCGGUCUCUAAUCUGUUUCGUACAGCAAGAUGCAUUUGACAAAGAGAUGCGACAGGAAUUAAAAGCAGCUGUCCCUGGUUACUUAAAUAAAUUGGAAAGAAGAAUGGAAGACCUCAAAAGGCUUGAUUGUGGAAUAACAAUAACGGGUGACACAAGCAGUGGAAAAACAAGCCUCAUCAAUAAAAUAACAGAAGGUGUGUGAACCAAGACAGCGUGCUGCAACUUCAACUAUUUGCAGAUAUCACAAUUCUGAUGAAAUGGCUUUGCAGAUUGUAUAUAAAUCUGGAAUGGUGUCACCCAGAGAAAGUUUUGUAAAAACAAAUGAUCUCAGAUCAAAACUUGGGAUUGUUUCUGAUGUAAAAAAGGGACCAGCAAGAGAUAUAAAAUAUGUUGAUGUGUUUUUUCCUAUUCCAAUCUUGCAGGACAAUCUGAUGUUUGUGGAUACGCCAGGAAUUGGGGAAACAGAAGAACUUACAUCUAAGUUAUUUGAUUACCUUUCGGAAUCAAUCUCAUUCAUAUUUUUGAUUGAUGUUUCCCAUCAUGGUGGUGUCGCAAAAGAUAGGCUCCAAAUUAUUCUCUCUAAAGUGCUUGAGAAGUGCCACUUAAUGCCAUGUUUUGAUCCAGAAGACGUGCUCUUUGUUACAAACAAAUAGCGUGUCUUUAAAAAAAGUUCUGACGAUGACGACGACGAUGAGGAAGAUGAAGCAUUAGAGUGUUGGAAUGAUCUGGUAGAAAAAUUACAAGUGGCCUGGCCGACUCUAAAUAUCCAACACAUCUUUAAGCUUAACCUUGAACAGAUCAGUCCUAAAGAUGAAACUGAAGACGAAAAAGCUGAAUUCAACCGUUUUCGAUCAACUCUUUCUGAAUUAAUUGAAAGAAAUAAAAGUAAGCGGGUCCGUCGCCACGUGAGCCUUUUGAAGAAUUUUCUAGAGGAUGUUGAUAGAGUCAUUUCAUCAAGAGUUCGAUUAGCAGAUGAAACUGAUGAGAAUCACAUUAAGGAUUUAGAAAAUAAGCGAGAUGAGUUGAAAAGGUCCCUGGAGGAAUGUAAAAUGAGUAUUUCAAAAUUAGACCAAAAAAUCGAAGAAACAGCUUCCAAAAUGGCACAAAAACUGUACUCUUUUCUGAAUUCUGAUGAAGGAAAGACUCUUAUCUUAAAUCCACCAGGAGAGUCAACAAUCAGCAGUUGUCUAAUGAUUGGUUUGAGUGGGGAAAUUUCUACACGAAUACAAACAGGAAUAAUGAAAUGGAUGAGAGACAAGGAUAUCAAGAAGCAAUAAAUGUAAUUGAAGAAGAAAUUUCUCGAGGAUUUGAAGGAAUUAACAUGAAUAUCGUAAAUGCUUAUUUGUCUUUAACUGGGAAAGAAAGCCGAAAUAAUUUAUGGACUGUUUUUAAGUAUACUGUAUCAGCACCAGUGUGGUUGCCCUUACUUGUAGGUGAUGGACUGCUUGCUAUUAUAGGAACAAUACUUGUUCUCCCUGUUGCUAUUGGAAUGGACAUUUUCACGUCUGAGGAAAAGAAAAUAGAAGCAAUUAGAAUUUGCUACAGCAAACAAAUGGAAGCUUAUUCAAAAGAAAAACUUGAGAAAAUCAUAUUACCUCCUCUUAAACAACAGAAUCCGUGUAGCAUUUACAAUACUGAUUCCAAGACAAAUCAAAAUCACGCUUUUAACUUUUGCUUUUGUUUUGGAUAGAAAGGCAUAUAUCCUAAAACAUAAGAUGGUGUACAAGAGGAUGAACGAAGAACUAGAGGAAAUGAAAAGGAACGUGGCGGAAAUUGAUGAUAAAAGUUAAUUUCUUUUUUAUUAUAGAGUAACAGAGAGGUACAUGUAGUAUAUCUUGCUCUGGUAGGUCAUUUUCCCAUUUGGAAACUAUUUUAUUCAUUUAUACUGUCAUAAACAUCCAUUCAGAUAAUUGUGUGAACACAUUUAUGUAAACAUGAUUUUCGUUUGUAUUUAUUAGAAUUAAAUGGUUUUAAUAUAUAAAAAAUAUUAUAUUUCUUAUGAAUUU